GUAAUUUUUUGAGUAAAUCACUAAUUUUAAAUGCUCUUAAGUACGUUUUAAAAGAAAAAAACGUACCUAAAGUUAAGAAAAAAUCUAAAUGUGUUAUAUUUCUACACCCAACCGUUACCGAGUAAAUUAUUUAAAAAAUUGGUACCUUAAACCAGUUCUGAUUUCAGGUCAGCAGUUUAUGAAGGUACAUUAAUAAACAUAAUCCAUUAUUUUCUUUCUCAUGCCACUUCUGAUCAACACCAUUUUUCGUGGGUUCAGGUUGAGAUUUUGACCUAUUAUUGUUGUUACCCACAUGGCACAUGUAGCAUGGAACUGUUUUAGAGUUCAUAAAUGUAGCUAUACUUAGAGCCUCAUCAUUUUUCUUAUUUUGAAUUGAAUUAAUUGGUGUCAUUUUAUUUUAAAAAUAAUUGUAUAUUUUGACAAACCUUUUAUUUUAUACAGAUGCCUUUGUGAAAAAUAAAUUAAGCUCUAAUUUUGCAAGAUUUAAUUGAGCUACUUUUUACUUGUACUUGAAUAUUGUAUGUAUCCAAUCCAGUUUUAUUAGUUAAGCGCUUUAAAACAACCGCAGCUGACCAAAGUGCUGUACAGACGAAAAUAAAAUACAUCGCAGCUCACAUGAGAUAAAACUACAUUUCAAACACAAAAUAAAUAAAUUAAAAGGUGUAAAACAUGAAAUACAAAGUAAAUUAAGUGGCAGGAAACAUGAGUCAAAGUAGGCAGUAAAAUAAAUAAAUAAAAUUGAGGUCGUUUAUGGUGCUGAGGCAAAUCAUUCCACAGAUUUGGAGCCGCAACAGCAAAAUGUGUGUGUGUGCGCGUGUGCGUGCGUGCGUAUCUGUGUGAGCGCAGCUGGGAUCUGCAGCCAUUGUUCCGUCUCUUUAAGCCUUGCUUGAGGUAACAAAGCUUGUGUGUGAAGGAACAAUGAAAAAAAGAAAAGACAAGGUUCGUAGAUAUCAGUUCUCAGCUCCAACCCCCUUUUGUCCACGAUGGACACAAACUCCACCCCGAAAGUUGGAACCACAAAAGAAGGUUCAGGUUAUUGUCUCUCAGUCGGACCUCAGCAGGUGUGAGAAGAUCACAGUUUCCUUUUUCAGAAGUUUGAAU
rnacentral:lncRNA from 1 species